CCAGCCCAGGGAGGGCUCGCAGAGUCAGAAGGCGCUGUGAGCCAGACGCUCUCUGGAUUGCCUCCUGGAAACUAGUACCAGAGGCGUGCCUCCUAUUCUGAGACAGGGAAUCCAUCUAGGGAGUGGUGUGAAGUUUCCAGAACCUCAGUUCUGGAAGCCAGAAGUUGGCAAUAGUAUCUCUGGACCAAGAUCAAGGUACCGGCAGGGCGGCAGUUCCUCUGGAAACUCAAGGGAGGAGGCAUCUCUUGCUUCUUCCAGCUUAAGAUGCCACAUAUAAGUGAGAUCAUAUGGUAUUUGCAGCACUAUACACAAUAGCCAAG